CCCUGGUGAGUAGUUCCGGUUCCUGUCGCCGCCUCCCUGGCAGUCGAGUGGCGGUUGUGAGACCAUGGUGGCGAAGCAGCGGAUCCGGAUGGCCAACGAGGAAGCACAGUAAGAACAUCACCCAGCGCGGGCAACGUGGCGCGAAGCACUCGGCCCCUGCAGGAGGAAAAGGGCCCGGUCGCUCCCUGGUUAUUGGCUCUCUUCGUGUUUGUGGUGUGUGGAUCAGCAAUUUUCCAGAUUAUUCAGAGCAUCCGGAUGGGAGCUUGAAGGAUGAUCCAGCUGGUGGGAGCAAUUUUCCGUACACCCAUUGCCGACUGUUUCUUCUUUUCACUCUGAUUCCUGAUCGACUUCUGUGUGGACUCAACAACAAACUUAAAGUCUUAUAUAUAAAUCCAAAUCUACCAUCAGUAUUUCCCAGUAAUAAGUAAGGCGGGUGCACAUUGUAGACAGUGAUAUAUAUAGAGAUAUAUAUAUAUACAUAUAUAUAAAGUAACUUAUAGAAUAAGGCAAAAAUAGUGGCAACCUGAGCAGUAUACGUAUUCCAGCCAUUUGCUGAUGCUCAGUGUAACUCAUCACUUCUCUUCGUUCCUGUAAACACAAGGACGUUCUUUACUAGUGCUGGGUGCACUCUCUCAACGUUCCUUGCCAUAGCUAACCCUCAGUUUAGGGAUUCCUAACCUUUGUUAUGCCAUGGACCCCUACCAUUAACCAAGGGGUCCAUGACCCCAGGUUGGGAAUGCCUAUCUUCUCGCUGUCUGGUAGCCUGGGUCUUUCUCAGAGUUUGUCUCUGUUUGCCGGGUGUGACCACGAGUCUGUCAGUGUCUCCCAUCACUCUGCCGUCCACUGGGGUGUGGGGCUGACUCUGAAGGAACAGGAACACCUCUGUUGGGUUUUAAAAAGCCUUGCCAGUCCAAGCAAAUUAUUUAUGCACUUCAUCCUGUUUGAGGGAUAUACGGUUUGGCAGGUUUUUUUCUUACAUUUAGACAAAUGGAAAUGAGAUGCACUAUUGUUCUGCAUGCUGACUUGUUACGUAAACCUCACACUCUAGUAAUCCUGUAGACUGACCGGCACUUUCCGAGCCUGCAUCAUGGAGCAGAUGGCAGUCCGGUUACUGUGGACCUCUUCCCUACAGGGACCGUCAAAUCCUGGCAGGCUAUGGUACUGACUGGUUUAGUAAGGUGCUGGGUCACUACAGGUCUCUUUAUUCAUACAGUCUCCUGUUCUCUGGUGUGCGGUGCAUCAUUCCUUCUGCCUCGCACUCACAUUGGACUUGGCAGGAGCUGAUCUCGAGGGACCAGUCCCUGAUCAUUUCAACUGACCUGAUUAAUAAGGAGACCAAGUUCCACCAUACAGCCCAGCCGCAAGCACGGCAGCUUUUUGUCAUAGGACCACUGACCGGUAAGCUUUUCUUAUCCCUGCAUGUUCAUAUGGCUCCAUCCAACUCCAGUGGACACCUCUCCAAUUUCCGCUAUAACCAACUCCCUUGUAAGUUCUUGGCCAAUAUUGCAAGUGGCUUAACCCCUUAAAUCAUUUGUGCUGUCCUUGCCCUGUGGAGGGAGCUUCACUCUGUGUCUGACGCCGGGAGUGUGUGAUGGGUCAUUCUGUCCAAUGUGCCAUAUCUAUCCCUGUAGUGUUAUUUCAGCACAGGUAUUUUUUAUAACUAAAAGAAAAUAAUUAAGUUGUUGAACAGGUGGUUCAAUCUGUAAAUAUCUGUCAUAGAAGCAAUUGUCUACUAAUUGGCAUUUCAGACCUUCUGUGAGUGGUCCAUUCUUGUAAAAGUCCUGAUGCAGAGUAGAACCGCCCUGGUCCUCUACUACCCCAUGCCUUCUUGCGCUGGUGUGGUUUUGCUGGCCAUUUCCCAUGCCAGCUGUCCUGUGUAGGGUGAAACAUCACUGGAAUCGGGUCAGAGAAGAUCUGAUCCUCCUGCUGUGAAGAUCAUGAAGCGUUCUCACUCUGUUAAAUGUGGGAUUGUGCAAUGUUCUGGGCUGAUCUUUACCCCAGCACCCUGUAGCUCUUUAGACUCCAAUAAAUUGGACAAAUUAUUGUUCCCCCUGAGUCACCACUGGCUGGACAGGUCUGUCUGCCUAUUGUUAUCACCACAGUACAGCCACUCUGACAGGUUCAGGGAGUGAUGGACUGAGAUGAUCUGUGAUCUGGGCAUGUACCCCUGACUUCCAACCGGUUGACUGUAGGCUUUCUCUGGUCACCAUGGAAACAUAGACCUCCACUCCCUGGCUGGUCUAUGGCUCAGUAAGAACAGGGACCAGAGAGUAGGCAUAUCUCACUUAACCCCUGCACCAGCUUGAGAAGUACCUUAAUGUUGUGACAACCAGUGACCAGGGGUUGAAAGUUUCCCCUGGUAAUUGUCCUGGGCCUGGACUAGAUCAAACCCCUUCCACUGCUUGUUAGACCAGUCUCAGUGGAACUGUGGCAACACUCUGCUACUGGCUCCCAGCACAGCAGCUACCGUGCAGGGGAAAGGCCUCUUGGACCAGCUUCUGUCCAAUUAGACAAGCCAUCUCCCAGUGGUCAUUGCCUAAGGUUUUUCAGAUGGCAUCGAAGCCGAGUGGUCAGUGUAAAGUUUUACAGCGCCAGCAACCCAGGUUCAAUUCCCACCGUUGUCUGUAAGGAGUUUGUACAUUCUCCUGUGACCAUGUGGGUUUCUUUUAGGUGCUCCAGUUUCUCCCCACAUUCCAAAGACAUACAGGUUCGUAGCUUAAUUGGUCACGAGUAGUUGUAUGGCCAGAAAAGCCUGUUACCAUGCUGUAUCUAAAUACAAUUAAAUUUUAUUGUUACUGGCAUUUGGUUGAAUUUUACAUUUGAGUUCCCAACCCUAAAGGAUGAAUUUUGUACUCAAUGCUUCUGCCAUCCUGGAACAUUUGUAUUUAUCAGCAAUAAAGGAUGUACCUGCCUUGUUGUAAA